UAUAUAUUAAGUUAAACCUUAGACUCUAAAAUUUAUUUCCCAAUGGUUGCUUUUUAUUUUCUUAUAAACUUAAAGUUAAAUAA
rnacentral:tRNA from 1 species